rnacentral:lncRNA from 1 species
CGGGUUGCAACGACCUGCCCCAAUUGAGUCUUAUUGAGCAAGUGGGGUUGCUUCGACUGACUUCCGUUGAAAGGAAGUAUGACGUCGAGAAGUGUUUGUUCGUGUCCAAUCGUAGGGACGUCCGGGCUAUGGGUAUAGCACUUUGUCCAGUUAUUCUGUUUUCUCUUUGCCCGUAAUAUCAGAAAGUAUGCUGACUCUUCAUAAUUUUGUAUUUUUGCAGCUUCCGAAGUAAAAAUGGACGACAUAAAGUUUCCCAAGAACUUUGUCCUCUCUCGGGACAAUAU